UACAGAGGGGGCAAGCGUUGUUCGGAAUUACUGGGCGUAAAGGGCGCGUAGGCGGCCGCCUAAGUCAGACGUGAAAUCCCUCGGCUCAACCGGGGAACUGCGUCUGAUACUGGGUGGCUUGAAUUCGGGAGAGGGAUGCGGAAUUCCAGGUGUAGCGGUGAAAUGCGUAGAUAUCUGGAGGAACACCGGUGGCGAAGGCGGCAUCCUGGACCGGUAUUGACGCUGAGGAGCGAAAGCCAGGGGAGCAAACGGG
rnacentral:rRNA from 1 species